GUGAGGAAUUUUCCGCAAUGGGCGAAAGCCUGACUGAGCAAUGCCGCGUGAAGGAUGAAGGCCUAUGGGUUGUAAACUUCUUUUCUUAGAGAAGAAUAUUGACGGUAUCUGAGGAAUAAGCAUCGGCUAACUCUGUGCCAGCAGCCGCGGUAAGACAGAGGAUGCAAGCGUUAUCCGGAAUGAUUGGGCGUAAAGCGUCUGUAGGUGGCUUCAAAAGUCUCCUGUCAAAGAUCAGUGCUUAACCCUGGGCCGGCAGGAGAAACUCUGAGGCUAGAGUUUGGUAGGGGCAGAGGGAAUUCCCGGUGGAGCGGUGAAAUGCGUAGAGAUCGGGAGGAACACCAAAGGCGAAAGCACUCUGCUGGGCCACAACUGACACUGAGAGACGAAAGCGAGGGGAGCAAAAGGGAUUAGAUACCCGGGUAGUCC
rnacentral:rRNA from 1 species